AGGGGCUUAAGUUAAACUUAAACUAGCGGCCUUCAAAGCCCCAAACAAGAGUUAAACCCUCUUAGCCCCUG
rnacentral:tRNA from 1 species